rnacentral:rRNA from 1 species
CCCUUAGAUGUUCUGGGCUGCACGCGUGCUACACUGAUUACUUCAACAAGUGUUUUAACUGGAGAGUUCGCGUAAUCCUGAAAUGUUAUCGUGAUGGGAGUAGAGUAUUGUAUUUGUUAAUCUUUAACGAGGAAUUCCUAGUAAGUGUAGGUUUAUAAGUUGUUCUGAUUACGUCCCUGCCCUUUGUACACACCGCCCGUCGCACCUACCGAUUGGAUGGUCCGGUGAAGCCUCGGGAUUGUGGUUCUUGCCGCUUUAUUGUGGCGUGACCGCGAGAACUUGUCUAAACCUUAUCAUCUAGAGGAAGGUGAAGUCGUAACA